CUCGUAGGCAUUAACAAAGAGUGUAUUGUGUGGGUUUGUGUAUAUUCAAAAAGGUGUAUUAUUUUGUCUUUUUCAUUGUUUCCAGGGAUUGCAGGCGCUGUUCCAACAAGCAGUCGGGGGGCAGUCGGGAGGAGGCGGGUCGUCGGCGGGGAAACCGAAAACAGACCGAACAGGCCUUCUGGAGGUUUUAGCCAAGGUGGAUUUGGUCAACAAGGAGGUGGAUUUGGUCAACAAGGAGGUGGAUUUGGUCAACAAGGAGGUGGAUUUGGUCACAAGGUGGUGGUUUUGGUCAACAAGGAGGUGGAUUUGGUCAGCAGGGAGGUGGAUUUGGUCAGCAGGGAGGUGGAUUUGGCCAAGGAGGUGGAUUUGGACAACAAGGAGGUGGAUUUGGUCAGCAGGGAGGUGGAUUUGGCCAAGGUGGCAGUUUUGGCCAAAGUGGAUUUGGCCAAAGGUGGAUUUGGACAAGGACAAGGGGGCCAGAACUGCAAAUUAUUCUGCAGGAGGGGAAAUGGCUAUGUGUGCUGCUAAAAAAAAAAUGUUGCACAUCACCCGACACCGACGAUUUCAAUAAAUUUCAACUUGUCAGAUAGAUUAACAUGUGGCAAAAACCUUUUGGUGGUGUAAUCUUAAAAUCUUUGUAGAAGUGCUAACGUUUAUGUGAUGUGUUUACGUUUUAAAAAAUAACAACACAGUUGUUUGUAAUCUUUUACUGACUGUAUAAAAAAAUAUACGGCAAUGAGGUUACUAA